AUUGAACGCUGGCGGCAGGCUUAACCCAUGCAAGUCGAGCGAGCGGCGGACGGGUGAGUAAUGUCUGGGAAACUGCCUGAUGGAGGGGGAUAACUACUGGAAACGGUAGCUAAUACCGCAUACCAUCAGAUGUGCCCAGAUGGGAUUAGCUAGUAGGUGGGGUAAUGGCUACCCUAGGCGACGAUCCCUAUAUGGUCUGAGAGGAUGACCAGCCACACUGUAACUGAGACACGGUCCAGACUCCUACGGGAGGCAGCAGUGGGGAAUAUUGCACAAUGGGCGCAAGCCUGAUGCAGCCAUGCCGCGUGUGUGAAGAAGGCCUUCGGGUUGUAAAGCACGUUCAGCGAGGAGGCGUUACUCGCAGAAGAAGCACCGGCUAACUCCGAGCCAGCCGCCGCGGUAAUUC
rnacentral:rRNA from 1 species